rnacentral:lncRNA from 1 species
GGGUUUUGAUCUCCUUGGUCUGCGGUCAGAUUCCAUUUCCUUGUUUUGUUUCCCAGAUUUGGUCCGACACACCCACAGUUCGGCCCAACCCAAACUAACAAGGUAUGUGAAAUUAAUUUCUUUUUGGAUCAGACUAGACGGGCCCGAUCCGCAGGCCCUGCGCUUACUAAUUUGCGGGAAGGCGAAAACAGUAAACACACUUAUUUCGAAAAAGUUCAAAAAAAAAAAACACAGCGAUUUUCAUUUUCUACUUCUCUGCAUCUUGUUCUUGCUUCCCGUAUCUAGGGUUUCAAGAAAUUUUUUUGGUCAUCCAAUCGGCUAGAUACUCAGCCAUGGCCGAAGUCAUUAACAUGCCGGUCGAUUCCGUCGAUGGCAACGGUGAUCGUGACCCCAACGAGAAGCCCUCCGCUGUUGACGACGACCCCCAAUCUUCCCCUCCGCCCCCACCAC